rnacentral:tRNA from 1 species
GCCUUCUUGGCUCAGGGGUAGAGCGCUUCACUCGUAAUGAAGCGGUCACUGGUUCGAAUCCAGUAGGAGGCA